rnacentral:rRNA from 1 species
UACGUAGGGGGCAAGCGUUGUCCGGAAUUAUUGGGCGUAAAGGGCUCGUAGGCGGUCCGUCACGUCGGGAGUGAAAACUCGGGGCUCAACCCCGAGCCUGCUUUCGAUACGGGCGGACUAGAGGUAGGUAGGGGGAGAACGGAAUUCCUGGUGUAGCGGUGAAAUGCGCAGAUAUCAGGAGGAACACCGGUGGCGAAGGCGGUUCUCUGGGCAUGAUCUGACGCUGAGGAGCGAAAGCGUGGGGAGCAAACAGG